UGCCAGCAGCCGCGGUAAUACGAAGGGGGCUAGCGUUGUUCGGAAUAACUGGGCGUAAAGCGCACGUAGGCGGAAUGUUAAGUGAGGGGUGAAAUCCCAGGGCUCAACCCUGGAACUGCCUCCAAAACUAUCAGUCUAGAGUUCGAGAGAGGUGAGUGGAAUUCCGAGUGUAGAGGUGAAAUUCGUAGAUAUUCGGAGGAACACCAGUGGCGAAGGCGGCUCACUGGCUCGAUACUGACGCUGAGGUGCGAAAGCGUGGGGAGCAAACAGGAUUAGAUA
rnacentral:rRNA from 1 species